rnacentral:rRNA from 1 species
AACGAACGCUGGCGGCAUGCCUAACACAUGCAAGUCGAACGAUUGCCUUCGGGUGAUAGUGGCGCACGGGUGCGUAACGCGUGGGAAUCUGCCCUUAGGUUCGGAAUAACAGCUGGAAACGGCUGCUAAUACCGGAUGAUAUCGCGAGAUCAAAGAUUUAUCGCCUGAGGAUGAGCCCGCGUUGGAUUAGGUAGUUGGUGGGGUAAAGGCCUUCCAAGCCGACGAUCCAUAGCUGGUCUGAGAGGAUGAUCAGCCACACUGGGACUGAGACACGGCCCAGACUCCUACGGGAGGAAGCAGUGGGGAAUAUUGGACAAUGGGCGCAAGCCUGAUCCAGCAAUGCCGCGUGAGUGAUGAAGGCCCUAGGGUUGUAAAGCUCUUUUACCCGGGAAGAUAAUGACUGUACCGGGAGAAUAAGCCCCGGCUAACUCCGUG